rnacentral:rRNA from 1 species
UACGGAGGGUGCAAGCGUUAUCCGGAUUUACUGGGUUUAAAGGGUGCGUAGGUGGGUAGGUAAGUCAGUGGUGAAAUCUUCGAGCUUAACUCGGAAACUGCCAUUGAUACUAUUUAUCUUGAAUACUUUGGAGGUAAGCGGAAUAUGUCAUGUAGCGGUGAAAUGCUUAGAUAUGACAUAGAACACCAAUUGCGAAGGCAGCUACUACACAGUUAUUGACACUGAGGCACGAAAGCGUGGGGAUCAAACAGG